GGUGUAUUCCAUAUUUUAAGGGGUAGUGGAUCAACAACAUAAUUAGAAGACCUGUGCUUUUUAUCUUACAUGAUUAUGCGCAAGUAGAAGAACCAUUCAAACAAGUUAGCAGACAAAACUUCUUUCUCUCUCCCUUGCGCGACCGAAACCGAAAACAGAGCAAAGGUUCUCCGGUCUCUCUCUCCCUCCACCGGCCACCAAUCAAGACCAGACCACAUUCCACAUCUUCGUCUCUUCCUUGCUCAGCUUCCAGUGGCAGCCUUACGCCCUGGAACAGUCGGCAGCGGCAGCGGAGUGCCGGUUUGUUUAAAACCCCGUUUUGGUUCCAAUCGAGAUAUCUCACGCUAUAGGACAUCAAUCCUUGUGAUUCUUGUCUCAUUGGACUCGCCUAGACUUUCUGAUCAAGCACCAGGAAGGAUCGAACCUGGAUAGAUCGAAUUCACGUUCGUCGGAGCUCGACCGGUUUUCGAUCGAAAAACCAAACCUUUCGAUCAAGAUAUCUCGAGCUGUAGAGCUUCGUUUUGAGUAAUUCUUGAACCAGUGAGUUUGACUUGAUGUUCUUAACAACUAUCCAGAAGGAAUCGAGGGCUGAAAUUGAAGUUUUUACGUCGGAAUUCAAGCUCGCCGGAUUCUGGAAAUUUUCCGGCCACCGAAGCUUUCGAUCAAGAUAUCUCGAGCUGUAGAGCUUCGUUUUGAAUGAUACUUGAAACAUUGAGUUCGGCUUGAUGUUAUUAACAACUCUAUAGAAGGAAUAGAGGCCUGAAAUUGAAGUUUUUACGUCGAAAUCAAGCUCGCCGUUUUCUGCAAUUUUCGCCGGUUUCUGGAAGUUUUCCGGCCAAGUCAACUGUUCUAGGUGAUUGACGGUCUUCCUUGGUGAGCGGUUUUGGUGUGUAUUGUGAAAUUGAAGACGCAGCGGGAUUAGAGCGGGUAAUCCUACAGGUCAGGAGAAUCGAGAAGGUGAUCAGGCUGCUUAGAGCAGUGGUAUUGGAGUUACAGCUUUAUUGUGAGGUUGUUAUGCUCUUUGAGCUUACAUUUAAAUUUGGAGAGAGUGUGUUGUAAUAUUAAAUAACUUGAGGAUUUGGUUUAUUGUUUUAUUGAGAGGUGUGAAGUGUGGUUGUUUGUGAGAAAAAAAUUCAGGACGUUUAUUUGUAAUUGUUAUUAUUCAUGUUUCGGAUUUGAAUUGGUUAUUCAAAUUCGGGGCGUGACAUGCAGCCACCACCAGCUCAGCUUCGGCCAUCGGCGACCACCGUCUGACCACCAUUUUUCCGGCGACCUCCUGUAAAGUUUUCCUGCCAUCUACAGUAACUUUUUCCUGUCAAAAUUUCCGGCCAAUUUUCAAGGAUGAGUAACCUGAACAAGUUGUGCUUGGCUCCACUAGAGACAACAGGCGCAAGAUACCAC